CAAUAUAUUGAUUGAUGCGUAUUGCAAAGAAGGAAUGAUUAAAGAUGCAGAGGAUGUGAUAGAGAUAAUGAUUCAAAGAGGCCAUUGUCCUGAUGUAGUAACAUAUAGUGCACUCAUGGAAGGAU
rnacentral:miRNA from 1 species